UACGUAGGGAGCAAGCGUUGUCCGGAAUUAUUGGGCGUAAAGCGCGCGUAGGCGGUUCGAUCAGUCUGUUGUGAAAGUCAAAGGCUCAACCUUUGAAUGCCGAUGGAUACUGUCGAGCUAGAGUCCGGAAGAGGCGAGUGGAAUUCCUGGUGUAGCGGUGGAAUGCGCAGAUAUCAGGAGGAACACCAACGGCGAAGGCAGCUCGCUGGGACGGUACUGACGCUAAGGCGCGAAAGCGUGGGGAGCGAACAGG
rnacentral:rRNA from 1 species